AGUCAGGAAUAUGGCCAUUGUUAUAUUAUAGUUCGUUUCUGUGUGUGUUACAAUUUAACGUUGCGUCGUUUGUUUUCUCUUAUUUUUUAGUGUAAAUUGACAUUGCGAUAAGACGUGUCACGGUACUUGUCUAUCCCAAAUUCAUGUAUUUGGUUUUGAUGUUAUUUUUGUUAUUCUCGUGGGAUUUUGUCUGAUGCUUGGUCCGUUUCUGUGUGUGUUAGUUACAUUGUAGUGUUGUGUCGUUGUUCUCCUCUUAUAUUUAUGCGUUCCC
rnacentral:lncRNA from 1 species